GAUGAACGUUGGCGGCGUGCCUAAUACAUGCAAGUCGAACGGAGAUUGUAGCAAUACGGUCUCAGUGGCGAACGGGUGAGUAACGCGUUGGUGACCUGCCCCGAAGAGGGGGAUAACAGUCCGAAAGGAUUGCUAAUACCCCAUGUGGUCGUUUGGAUUAGAUGCCUUAUGACUAAACGGAUUUAUUCGCUUCGGGAGGGGCCUGCGUCCCAUCAGCUAGUUGGUAAGGUAAUGGCUUACCAAGGCGAUGACGGGUAGGGGACCUGAGAGGGUGGCCCCCCACAAUGGAACUGAAACACGGUCCAUACACCUACGGGUGGCAGCAGUAGGGAAUAUUAGAAAUGGACGAAAGUCUGAUCUAGCAACACCGCGUGUGCGAAGAAGGCCUUCGGGUCGUAAAGCACUUUUUGGAAGGAAUAGGAAGGAAUGUACUUCCAGAAUAAGUCUCGGCUAACUACGUGCCAGCAGCCGCGGUAACACGUAGGAGGCAAACGUUAUCCGGAUUUACUGGGCGUAAAGCGCGUGUAGGUGGUUCUGUAAGUAGGGCGUGAAAGCUCCCGGCUCAACUGGGAGAUGCCGUUCUAAACUGCAGAGCUAGAGGAUGGUAGAGGGAGGUGGAAUUCCAGGUGUAGCGGUGGAAUGCGCAGAUAUCUGGAGGAACACCAGUGGCGAAAGCGGCCUCCUGGACCAUUCCUGACACUCAGACGCGAAAGCUAGGGUAGCAAACGGGAUUAGAGACCCCGGUAGUCCUAGCCCUAAACGAUGUAGACUAGACGUCGGCGGUGUAAUAGCUGUCGGUGUCCAAGCUAACGCGAUAAGUCUACCGCCUGGGGACUACGGCCGCAAGGUUAAAACUCAAAGGAAUUGACGGGUCCCCGCACAAGCAGCGGAGCGUGUGGUUUAAUUCGUUGCUACACGAAGAACCUUACCUGGGUUUGACAUAGCAGUGGUAGGGAAGAGAAAUCGGACCGACCCUUCGGGGAGCUGUUACAGGUGUUGCAUGGCUGUCGUCAGCUCGUGUCGUGAGAUGUUCGGUUAAGUCCGCUAACGAGCGCAGCCCGCGUUGUGUGUUAUAUGUGUCACACAAUACCGCCGGUAUUAAGCCGGAGGAAGGUGCGGAUGACGUCAAGUCAGCAUGACCUUUAUAUCCAGGGCUACACACACGCUACAAUGGACAGUACAACAGGUUGCCAAGCCGCGAGGCGGAGCCAAUCCUCUAAAGCUGUCCUCAGUUCAGAUUGCAGGCUGCAACUCGCCUGCAUGAAGUUGGAGUUGCUAGUAACCGCAGGUCAGCUAUACUGCGGUGAAUACGUUCCCGGGGAU
rnacentral:rRNA from 1 species